rnacentral:rRNA from 1 species
AAGGUCCACAUCGCCACUUUACGCAUCUCUAGACCUCCUUAUGGCCACCGCUUCCGCCGGGGGACCUGUUUCUGACUGCGAGUCCACGCUUUCGCACCCCUCGUUUGUCCUAAUCUAUGGGACCAUCAGGUGCGGCAUUUGCUACAGCUAAACCUCCGACACAGGAACUCUGCACCGAAGGCCUCGAUUGCGCAAUUUAGCUGGCGGACCCCUCAUGCCGGCGUUCCAAUUUUGAGUUUACUUAACUGCCCCCGGGCGUGUUCGCCACCUCGUACACCAAAUUAAGCUACGUUGCGCUUCUUGGAAUGGACCGGAACUGUACAGACCUUAGGACAUCUCUAUGCCCUCACGGAAGCCCUUAGUCUUGUGUCCACGACGUACCGACAGCAGUCGAGCACAGCACUCUACAACCCAAUUCAGGGCGUUGCUCGCGUUGGGGACAGGAAACAACGGUCGUGCAUUACCACCCUUGAGUUCCCUCUGACGGCCACUAUUUGGCCUCCUUCCACCCCUACUGCAGUUCAGUAGUACCGGGAAUGCCGGUCCCGAUGUGUGCACGAUGUUACCGCGCAUGUCUCCCGACGUUCGAUCGCUAUCACUCGCUUAGGGUUUUUCGCGCAGCAUCAGGCCUAGCCUCAGACGUUGAGCUGAGGCACUUCAGCCUUAGCGAUCAUUAGCGUUUAGUCUUACAACGCCACUUAUGCAAGGGCCCGGAACAUGUGUGGCGGGCAGUGUGGUACCCUCACCCAACGUGGUCUUCAUCUAUCGAAUUGGAAGCCCU